rnacentral:rRNA from 1 species
ACUCCUACGGGAGGCAGCAGUGAGGAAUAUUGGACAAUGGGCGCAAGCCUGAUCCAGCCAUGCCGCGUGCAGGAAGACGGUCCUAUGGAUUGUAAACUGCUUUUAUACAGGAAGAAACACACCCUCGUGAGGGUACUUGACGGUACUGUAAGAAUAAGGAUCGGCUAA